rnacentral:rRNA from 1 species
UACGUAGGGGGCAAGCGUUGUCCGGAAUCAUUGGGCGUAAAGAGCGUGUAGGCGGUUUGUCGCGUCUGCCGUGAAAAUCCGGGGCUCAACCCCGGACUUGCAGUGGGUACGGGCAGACUAGAGUGUGGUAGGGGAGACUGGAAUUCCUGGUGUAGGCGGUGAAAUGCGCAGAUAUCAGGAGGAACACCGAUGGCGAAGGCAGGUCUCUGGGCCACUACUGACGCUGAGACGCGAAAGCGUGGGGAGCGAACAGG